AUACUUGGUGAAUAUCUGGAAUCAAUCAAACACAGACAAGUUUAAAAGGAAUAGACUUCAAGAUCAAAACAGUUGAAUUACAAGGAAAGAAGAUCAAGCUACAGAUAUGGGAUACAGCAGGCCAGGAGCGAUUUCACACCAUCACAACCUCCUACUACAGAGGCGCGAUGGGUAUCAUGCUAGUAUAUGACAUCACCAAUGGUAAAAGUUUUGAAAACAUCAGCAAAUGGCUUAGAAACAUAGAUGAGCAUGCCAAUGAAGAUGUGGAAAGAAUGUUACUAGGAAACAAGUGUGAUAUGGACGACAAAAGAGUUGUACCUAAAGGAAAAGGAGAACAGAUUGCAAGGGAGCAUGGUAUUAGGUUUUUUGAGACUAGUGCAAAAGCAAAUAUAAACAUCGAAAAGGCGUUCCUCACGUUAGCUGAAGAUAUCCUUCGAAAGACCCCUGUAAAAGAGCCCAACAGUGAAAAUGUAGAUAUCAGCAGUGGAGGAGGCGUGACAGGCUGGAAGAGCAAAUGCUGCUGAGCAUUCUCCUGUUCCAUCAGCUGCCAUCCACUACCCCGUUUUCUCUU
rnacentral:sRNA from 1 species